CCGCUUGGGGCGCCUUGCCUUUCGCGCUGCCGGCUCCCCCCGCCCGGCGCCCGUAAAAUGCCCAGAAACCUGGAACGACGAAAAACAACAGCUCUUCUCCUCCAAAAGGUGUAGUCCGUGGAUUGCAGUACACAAAAUAAGGAAAAUGAGGCAGCCUGUGCGGAUGACUAAGUUAACCGUGUGUCAUUCUGGCAUUCCUGGGGAUGAAAAUCGGUGUUUGGGGACCUCUGUGGUUAAGAGACUGGCUGUUGCUGUCCAUUUCCCAGUCCUGCCGUUGAGCCAGGUGGGAUCCUUCUUCAUGCCAGUUACGUGGGCACAGAGGCUGGACUCUUCCUCCAAGGUCAUGAGCAGGUACCCUCACUUGUAUGAAUGUGUCACAAGGAAAGGGCAUUGUGUAAUAAAGAAUUUACCCUUGCCCAAAGAGAGAUCUGCUCUUUGCCCUCAGCUCCCCAGAGGUGAUCUCUAAGCCCUUAGGCUCUCCUGCCUGAUAAGAGUGCCUUUGUGUUACAGAACCAAAUGUAGGUCCACUUGCCCACGGGCGCCAAUCUACUGACACCAGGUUGUGGUGAAGGAAAGUGCAGCGUUUAUUGUAAGGCACCAGACAGAGUCCAGCGCAGCUAAUGCUCAAAACACUUGCACUCAGGGAGGUGUUUUUAAAGGCAAAGUGAGGGAGGGGAGUCCCAGGGUGUGUGAUCAGCUCACGCACUGUUCUCUGAUUGGUUGGUGGUGAGUGCUGGUAACAUUAUCAGUCUUCAGGCGCCAGUAGGUCUAGGGGCUAUGUGCUCAUGGUCAUCUUGUAGUUCACGUUUUCCAUUUGGUGGUGGUUUGGGCAUCUGUAAAACAAUUCAGGAAAUGUGCAUCAGAUACUGUUAUCUAGGUGCUUCAGAGAGGAGCCAAAGCAGAGGACGUGGGGGGGAGGGGUCUGUCCCCCGGCAGGCCCCAUAGUGUCCUGAUCAGUUACAUUUGUUUACCUGGAGGACGCUGAGUAGGAACCUCUCCCGACUGCGCCCUAUUUGUCUCUUCUCUUGACUGGUUUUCAUCUGUAUCUUUUUGCUGUAAUAAAGCAUAACUGUGAGUAUAAUUGCUUUCAGCAAGUUCUGAGGGUCCUUCUAGUGAGUCACUGAACUUGGCGGUGGUUGUGGGGACCCUGAGCUGGCCUCUGGUGUCAGAAGUGAGAGUAGUCUUGGGGACAGUUCCCUAACUUUGCAGGCACUGACUAGGACUCGAUGCUCAUGGUCUCUGGACUGGACUCUCCUCUCACUGGCUGGGUGAGCUGCUUCGUCUCUCCGAGCCCCUUUGCCUCAGCACUCAGCAGGGAGGGUCAUCUGUCCCCUCUGGGGGAGGUUGCUGUGGAGGUUGAGAUAGGAGUGAGAGGGAGGGCUGUGCAAGUUGUCCAGCUGCACGGAAAUGCGCCCACUUGGUGCCGGUGGACUGAGUGCCCUCUCACGUUUGGGCACGUUUGACGACGAUGGUAGUGACGAUCCCAUUCCUACAGUCUGACAGACCUCAUCUGUCUAGACAGGGAGGAGAGAGGGGCUGGGGCCAAAGAAUACGCACCUGGAGCCCGAAUGGAAGCCAUUUCUCUAAAAUAAGGUCUUAGGAGCCACUUACUGGAAGUGGUGGAAGGAUGCAACCUCUCUGCACACGAUGAGACACACCUAAGUGACAAUGCACCUGUCAUUCAUCAGAAGAGCAGAAACUCAAUAUCUUGACAAACCACUCUGUGGCGAGGCUGGAAGUGGGCACUACAAAAUGGUCCAACCUCUGCUGAGGGGAAUUGAGCAAUAGCUAAGAAAAUUACAGAGUAUUUACCCUUUGACCUAGAAAUAGCACUUCCGGGUACUACCCUCAGUUACCUCUAGCAAUACAAAAAAAAUUGUGAUGGUUAUUUAUUACAGCAUAGUUUGUAACGCAGAAUAUUCAAAACAACCUAAAUGUCCGUAUGUAAGAAAUUGUUUGAAUAAAUUAUAGCAUGUCCACACAAUGAAGUAGCACAUUGCUAUAAAAACCAACAAGGAAGAACUCUAUGAACUGAUACAGAGUGAUAUCCAGAUAUAUGGUUACAUGCAAAAAACAAUCAAACAAAAAACAAAGUUCAUCAAAAUGAUUAUAGAUGUAAUAAUACCUCGAGUAAAAAAGAAUCUGUGAAUCAGAAUGAUAUCGAAGAACAAAUAAACAGGAAGAGUGAAGAAAGCUCUUCUUUCAUUAUAAGGGAAAGUAAAAUGCCAACUGAAAUGCCAUAAUAAAUGUGGUGGGACUAAUACAAGUAGAAAACCAAGUCACCAUUUUUCACCCAUCAUAGCAAAUCAUCACUAUAAUCAUUGAUUCAGGCUCGAAUCAUAAUGGAUGUUAAAACUACUGGGUUACAUUUUCUUGGGGAAAAGGAUACUUGUAACAUGCACAGAAUCUUAAAGCUGUCCCCCCAGAUUGCUUAUCAGUUACAUACUUACCAGAGGACACCACCUGAGUUAAGAGAUUUCAAUCAGCAUCUCCAAUAAUAGGACAGACUGGUGACAUGUCUCCUGAUGGAUGCACUGAAAAGACCACAACAUCACAGAUACUGUGUUCCUGCCAAAAAUGCACAAGCUGAACCAAAUCAUGAGGAGACAAUUAUAUAGACCCAAGCUGAGGACAUGCUACAAAAUAAGGGCCUGUACUCUCCAAAAAGGUCAAUGUCAUGAAAGGUAAAGAAAGGCCUGGGAAAUGUUUCAGAUUUUAAAAGACUAAAGACUACAUCCAAAUUUAAAACUUUUGUGUACCAAAGGAUACUAUCAACUGAGUGAAAAGGCAACCUAUGGAAUGGGAGAAAAUAUUUGCAAUUUAUGUAUCUUAUAUGAGACUAAUAUACAGCAUAUAUGAAGAACUCCUGCAACUCAACAACAGCAUCAAAAGACAAUGCACAGGGGCUUCCCUGGUGGUGCAGUGGUUGAGAGUCCACUGAUCCAGGGGACACGGGUUCGUGCCCCGGUCCGGGAAGAUCCCACAUGCCGCGGAGCGGCUGGGCCCGUGAGCCAUGGCUGCUGAGCCUGCGCAUCCGGAGCCUGUGCUCCGCAACAGGAGAGGCCACAACAGGGAGAGGCCCGCGUACCGC
ensembl:lncRNA